rnacentral:rRNA from 1 species
UAGGGAAUUUUCCGCAAUGGGCGAAAGCCUGACGGAGCAAUACCGCGUGAGGGAUGACGGCCUAUGGGUUGUAAACCUCUUUUUCAGGGAGGAAUAAAUGACGUGUACCUGAAGAAUAAGCAUCGGCUAACUCCGUGCCAGCAGCCGCGGUAAGACGGAGGAUGCAAGUGUUAUCCGGAAUCACUGGGGCGUAAAGCGUCUGUAGGUGGUCAAAUAAGUCAACUGUUAAAUCUUGAGGCUCAACCUCAAAACCGCAGUCGAAAACUAUUAGACUAGAGUAUAGUAGGGGUAAAGGGGAAUUUCCAGUGGAGCGGUGAAAUGCGUAGAGAUUGGAAGGAACACCGAUGGCGAAGGCACUUUUACUGGGGCUAUUACUAACACUCAGAGACGAAAGCUAGGGUAGCAAAUGGGAUUAGAUACCCCAAGUAGUCCUAGCUGUAAAACAAUGGAUACUAGAUGUUGAAACAGAUCGACCUGUGCAGUAUC